rnacentral:rRNA from 1 species
AGAGAGAGACAUGCGCGCAUAUCAAUAAGCGGAGGAAAAGAAACUAACUAGGAUUCCCUCAGUAACGGCGAGUGAAGCGGGAAGAGCUCAAAUUUGAAAUCUUCAAGGUUCUACCUUGACGAAUUGUAGUUUAAAGAAGUGUUUUCUGUUGGAGUUUUGGUAAAAGUUCUUUGGAAUAGGACAUCAUAGAGGGUGAGAAUCCCGUAUUUGACCAUUUACUUUCAGCUUUGUGAUACACUUUCAAAGAGUCGGAUUGUUUGGGAAUGCAGUCCAAAAUGGGUGGUAAAUUUCAUCUAAAGCUAAAUAUUGGCGAGAGACCGAUAGCGAACAAGUACCGUGAGGGAAAGAUGAAAAGAACUUUGAAAAGAGAGUUAAACAGUACGUGAAAUUGUCAAAAGGGAAGCGUUUGACACCAGUGUUGUUUUCUCGAAAAUCAAUUAAAAAAGGCAGGAUUUUGUGUUGUAUUGACUUUAUCAGCUUUCUGCACUCUUUUCUUGUCUUUUUUAAUGCACUUUUCGUUUAACAAGUCAACAUCAAUUUCUUUUGUUGUAAAAGGGUCAUUGGAAGGUGGCUUUCUUUUCGGAGAAAGUGUUUAUAGCCUUUGGCCUCUGCAAUCGGAGAGAUUGAGGUCUGCAGCGUAGAUCCUUCGGGGUUAGAUACAUUUGUGCUAAGUUAUAGCCUUUCAUAGACAACUUGUUGACUAUGAUCAGUCAUGUAGCUUACUCGCUUAUGCUAUUUUACCUACGCUUAGGAUGUUGAUGUGAUACUGCGAGC